rnacentral:rRNA from 1 species
AUUGAACGCUGGCGGCAUGCCUUACACAUGCAAGUCGAACGGUAACAGGUCUUCGGAUGCUGACGAGUGGCGAACGGGUGAGUAAUACAUCGGAACGUGCCUAGUAGUGGGGGAUAACUACUCGAAAGAGUGGCUAAUACCGCAUGAGAUCUACGGAUGAAAGCAGGGGAUCGCAAGACCUUGUGCUACUAGAGCGGCCGAUGGCAGAUUAGGUAGUUGGUGGGAUAAAAGCUUACCAAGCCGACGAUCUGUAGCUGGUCUGAGAGGACGAUCAGCCACACUGGGACUGCGACACGGCCCAGACUCCUACGGGAGGCAACAGUGGGGAAUUUUGGACAAUGGGCGCAAGCCUGAUCCAGCAAUGCCGCGUGCAGGAUGAAGGCCUUCGGGUUGUAAACUGCUUUUGUACGGAACGAAAAGCCCCGGGUUAAUACCCUGGGGUCAUGACGGUACCGUAAGAAUAAGCACCGGCUAACUACGUGCCAGCAGCCGCGGUAA